GAGGAGCUUGCUCCUCCGGAUUAGUGGCGAACGGGUGAGUAACACGUGAGCAAUCUGCCCUUGACUCUGGGAUAAGCGCUGGAAACGGCGUCUAAUACCGGAUACGACCCGCGGAGGCAUCUCCUGCGGGUGGAAAGAACUUCGGUCAAGGAUGAGCUCGCGGCCUAUCAGCUUGUUGGUGAGGUAAUGGCUCACCAAGGCGACGACGGGUAGCCGGCCUGAGAGGGUGACCGGCCACACUGGGACUGAGACACGGCCCAGACUCCUACGGGAGGCAGCAGUGGGGAAUAUUGCACAAUGGGCGCAAGCCUGAUGCAGCAACGCCGCGUGAGGGACGACGGCCUUCGGGUUGUAAACCUCUUUUAGCAGGGAAGAAGCGAGAGUGACGGUACCUGCAGAAAAAGCACCGGCUAACUACGUGCCAGCAGCCGCGGUAAUACGUAGGGUGCAAGCGUUGUCCGGAAUUAUUGGGCGUAAAGAGCUCGUAGGCGGUCUGUCGCGUCUGCUGUGAAAACCCGAGGCUCAACCUCGGGCUUGCAGUGGGUACGGGCAGACUAGAGUGCGGUAGGGGAGAUUGGAAUUCCUGGUGUAGCGGUGGAAUGCGCAGAUAUCAGGAGGAACACCGAUGGCGAAGGCAGAUCUCUGGGCCGUAACUGACGCUGAGGAGCGAAAGCGUGGGGAGCAAACAGGCUUAGAUACCCUGGUA
rnacentral:rRNA from 1 species